AGUGAACGCUGGCGGUAGGCCUAACACAUGCAAGUCGAACGGCAGCACAGUAAGAGCUUGCUCUUACGGGUGGCGAGUGGCGGACGGGUGAGGAAUACAUCGGAAUCUACUUUUUCGUGGGGGAUAACGUAGGGAAACUUACGCUAAUACCGCAUACGACCUACGGGUGAAAGCAGGGGAUCUUCUGACCUUGCGCGAUUGAAUGAGCCGCUGUGGGAUUAGCUAGUUGGCGGGGUAAAGGCCCACCAAGGCGACGAUCCGUAGCCGGUCUGAGAGGAUGGUCGGCCACCCUGGAACUGAGACAGGGACCAGACUCCUGAGGGAGGCAGCAGUGGGGAAUAUUAGACAAUGGGCGGAAGCCUGGUCCAGCCAGACCGAGUGGGUGAAGAAGGCCUUGGGGUUGUAAAGCCCUUUUUUUGGGUAAGAAAAGCAGCAGGUUAAUACCACGCUGUUCUGACGGUACCCAAAGAAUAAGCACCGGCUAACUACGUG
rnacentral:rRNA from 1 species